rnacentral:misc_RNA from 1 species
GAAGUAAAAGUCGUGACAAGGUCUCCGUUGGUGAACCAGCGGAGGGAUCAUUACCGAGUGCAAACUCAUAACCCUUUGUGAACCUAUAUCUGUUGCUUCGGCGGCUCGCUCUCGGGCGAGCCCGCCGGUAAUAUCAGUAUCUCUGUUUGAACCCGACGAUACUUCUGAGUGUUCUUAGCGAACAGUUAAAACUUUUAACAACGGAUCUCUUGGCUCUA